rnacentral:rRNA from 1 species
GAGUUUGAUCCUGGCUCAGGAUGAACGCUGGCGGUAUGCCUUACACAUGCAAGUCGUACGAAGGUUUUUAACCUAAGUGGCGGACGGGUGAGUAACACGUGAGAAUUUGCCUUUAGGAGGGGGAUAACAAUUGGAAACAGCUGCUAAUACCCCAUAUGCUUUCGAGUGAAAUGAAUUUAUUCGCCUAGAGAGAAGCUCGCGGCUGAUUAGCUUGUUGGUAAGGUAAAGGCUUACCAAGGCGACGAUCAGUAUCUGGUUUGAGAGGACGAUCAGACACACUGGAACUGAGACACGGUCCAGACCCCUACGGGAGGCAGCAGUGGGGAAUUUUCCGCAAUGGACGAAAGUCUGACGGAGCGACGCCGCGUGCGGGAAGAAGGUACUUCGUAUUGUAAACCGCUGUCAGGGGGGAUGAAAUCUCCGGGGGUUAUCCCUUGGAGUUGACAGAGCCCCAGAGGAAGCACGGGC